AUAUUGGCCAGAGACCGAUAGCGCACAAGUAGAGUGAUCGAAAGAUGAAAAGCACUUUGGAAAGAGAGUUAAACAGUACGUGAAAUUGUUGAAAGGGAAGCGCUUGCAAUCAGACUUGCACUUGGUGUUCAUCAGGGUCUCGUACCCUGUGUACUUCAUCAAGUUCAGGCCAGCAUCAGUUUGAGUGGUUAGAUAAAGGCUUAGAGAAUGUGGCCCUCUUCGGGGGGUGUUAUAGCUCUAGGUGCAAUGUAGCCUACUUGGACUGAGGACCGCGCUUCGGCUAGGAUGCUGGCGUAAUGGUUGUAAGCGACCCGUC
rnacentral:rRNA from 1 species